CGCUGCAGAGGGGCUCCCUCCUCACAGGAGAAAACAUGGCCCCCAGGUUUCACCCCUUGGAGAGAGAACGGCCUCACUCACUCUCAGAAGCAGAGCCCCCCGCCAGUGGUUCCCACGCUGGAGCAGGGCACAGCGGCCACACCCAGAGGCUCCCAUUCAGCACUGGGGGCCCAGGAAUCUGCAUUUGCAACGUGGUUACAGAUGGUGGUGAUGCUACAGCUCCAGGAACCCCACUUUGAGAACUAAGUGGGAGGGGAUCUCUCCAAACAUGGCUGCACCAGCGCCCACCCCCGACGGGAGACAGCACGUGCCUUCCGAGUGCUCAUAGGGGAAGCCUGCGUCCGCCUUCCAGCCCUGUGGUCUCUGGUCUUCCCAGCGGUCCGGCGGAGCCCACGUGCCCUACUCACACUGGCUGCGCCUCCUGGCACCGCUGAGCUCAUGGCCCUGUUGUGUUCUGCUCCUGC